UACGUAGGGGGCAAGCGUUGUCCGGAUUUAUUGGGCGUAAAGAGCGUGUAGGCGGCUAGGUAGGUCCGUUGUGAAAACUCGAGGCUCAACCUCGAGACGCCGAUGGAAACCAUCUAGCUAGAGUCCGGAAGAGGAGAGUGGAAUUCCUGGUGUAGCGGUGAAAUGCGCAGAUAUCAGGAGGAACACCAACGGCGAAGGCAGCUCGCUGGGACGGUACUGACGCUGAGGCGCGAAAGCGUGGGGAGCGAACAGG
rnacentral:rRNA from 1 species